rnacentral:piRNA from 1 species
CAAUCUUUCUGUCCUAUGUCCUGUAG